AUCAGAAAACCAAAAUCCAUAAACAUUUUGCAAACACAGUAUGCAUCACAGAAAGUAAAAAUAAUUGCAUCAGAAGUUUGAACUGUAACUAGAAACUAUCACAAAGGGCACAAAAUAUGAUGUGGUAACAAAUAUUCAAGUACAAUACAAUGAAGAUCACAAUUAGUUUGCAGAAAUGGCUUUCACAAGUAACAGAUACAAAGAACCUGACACCUAGCCCUGGAUUUUCAAUGGUGAUGUCAUAGAACCCGAAGUGUAAAAGAAUUAUGUAUGCAAACAAAAGACACGCUUCAUUCAGAAGUUUUUGCGGCAAAAUCCAGGCCCUUACCGAAGCAUGUUGAAAAUCUUAACUGAAAGAAACACUCUUAAGUCAAUAAUAAACGAUGAUCCACCUAUGAUAAAUCUGUACUUCUUGCUCAUUUCCUGAGGUUCACACCAACUUAGAAAGCGUAACAAGUCUCCUUCAGAGUUGAGAUCAGAGAAAGACACUGGAUUCCUCAGAGGACAUAGGCCUUAAAGAACCUAUCUUGAUAUCAUAGGUUCUACAAGCAGNN
rnacentral:lncRNA from 1 species